AAUCUGAGAAGUGGCAUAUGCAGGAAAAACUCCCUGACCUUCCAGAUAGAGACAUUUAUCUUAGAUUUGAUGAGCUUAAAGCUUCACUACAUCCUUGCUACUCAUAGUGUGGUAUCUGGCAACAUCUGGGAGCUUGUUAGAAAUUCAGAAUCUCAGGCCCCACCCCAGCUUCCUGGUCUGCGUUUUAACAAUAUCCCCAGAUGAUUUUUACAAACAUUAAAGUUUGAGGGAUAUUAUCCU
rnacentral:lncRNA from 1 species